UGGUGGAGUGAUUUGUCUGGUUGAUUCCGUUAACGAACGAGACCUCAGCCUGCUAAAUAGUGACGGUUAGGCUUGCCUAGCUGCUUUACUUCUUAGAGGGACUUUUGGCGUUAGCCAAAGGAAGUUUGAGGCAAUAACA
rnacentral:rRNA from 1 species